rnacentral:rRNA from 1 species
GAUGAACGCUGACAGAAUGCUUAACACAUGCAAGUCUACUUGAACUUCGGUUUGGGUGGCGGACGGGUGAGUAACGCGUAAAGAACUUGCCUCACAGUUAGGGACAACAUUUGGAAACGAAUGCUAAUACCUGAUAUUAUGAUUUUAGGGCAUCCUAGGAUUAUGAAAGCUAUAUGUGCUGUGAGAGAGCUUUGCGUCCCAUUAGCUAGUUGGAGAGGUAACGGCUCACCAAGGCGAUGAUGGGUAGCCGGCCUGAGAGGGUGAACGGCCACAAGGGGACUGAGACACGGCCCUUACUCCUACGGGAGGCAGCAGUGGGGAAUAUUGGACAAUGGACCAAAAGUCUGAUCCAGCAAUUCUGUGUGCACGAUGACGUUUUUCGGAAUGUAAAGUGCUUUCAGUUGGGAAGAAAAAAAUGACGGUACCAGCAGAAGAAGUGACGGCUAAAUACGUG